CUCUGAGAAUCGCGCAGCCACCAAUCAAUCGCGCCGCCACUGCAGCCCGCCGCCACCGCAUCCCGCAGCCACCAUAGCGACGGGUUUGACCACCGCAGCCCCACCGCGUCGUUGUCAUCGCGGAGCUCGCCUUCUCUGUAUUCGCCGGUGUCGCAUCCUCUGUUGUCGCCGUUGCUCACCGCCGGGAGUUUGCUGAUUUAAGUUUUACUGUGGAGUUUGUGGAGUUUGCUGAGUUUUACUAGUGUAGACGAAGUUUCUAUCAACUUUGAGAGGAACAAGAGCAGGGUAUUGAUCAGAGUUUAGGCUUCUGAGUUUCUUGUUGAGAUUUUGUGCAAAAGCUGAGUCAUUUCUAGCAGGAAGUUGAAGUUGAGGAAGAGAAGGGAUCAGUGUUUGAGAUGCCUUUGUAUUGGAAUAUAGCUGUGGUGGUUUUGUUGUUAACUGAGAUUGGAGCAUUCAUAAAGACCCUUUGCAGCCAUGAAGUACCUGCUUGGAACAAUGUUGGCAUGGACUAAAACAUGUGGUUUGCCCUAGUCCAAUUAGUAUAGAACUUGUGGUAA